CAUCCAGCAAUUUAAACACAAGUAGCUAUGUCCAUCUGCACAGGUCUGUCUCCACUGCUGCACCUUCAUCUUCCAUGCCAUUGAAUGUAAGCUGAUCGUGGUUUGA